GAUCGAAAACUACUUACACCUAUCUAAAUUUUAUCUAUAAUAAUUUUUAUGAAGAACAAAAAACAAAACUCUCUCAAAUCACAUCAUAAAUAAGUUUAUGUUAGUUAUAAAAUUUUUGACAAUUUAUUUAAGAGACCUAUCUUCAUCACCUACCCAACAAUGUGGUCGUUGAUCUAUCACUAUCCUAGAAAAGGACUUCACACCCUCACCCAACACUUCUCUUUCAUGCACGAAGACCCACUAAUUCAAUGCCUACUUCUAUCUCCAACAUUACUAUCAAAUUAUUAUUACAUAUAUAAAUAAAAAUUUAAAUUCAAAUCAGAUUUUCAAAAUUGAUUAUAUCUUUAUAAUUGAAGGAAUUACAAAAUGAAUGUACCUUCAAGUCGGAACGUAAUUUGAUCGAUCAAAAGUGACGAUAAUCGCACUUGUAGAUAUAUAAUUCCAACAUUCCUAAUUUAUUAUUAGAGAUAUAAUAUACUAUUAUUUUUUUAUAUAAUAUUUGUUUUUUGAAGUAAAAUAUGAUCUAACAUUUUGCCAUCAAUUACUGCAUAAAACAACAACAACAACAACAAAGAAUUCGAUCAAAAAUCCUAUACUCAGAAACAAAACCAGCGUCUUUUCUCUAUCAAUUCUCCAUGAAACAACGCCAACAUGAUCACAAUGCUACAACGUAAAUACAUACCAAAGCACAACCGCUGCAGAAGGAAGAAAGAAGAGAUGACUGUGAACGAAACACAUCAAUCAGCUGUGAUGCUAACACACCUCUUCUUUCCGAGCAGCUUCCCUUCUCCGGUCCCAGACAUAGCUUCCGCUUGCACUUCAACACCCGCCUCGUCUCCCUCGGCGCGGGCGGGCAGCUCGGUGCAACAGACGGAAGCUUACUCUCUUCGGAGGUCGGCGUGCGGAACGCCUCCUCGUCAUCCUUGGAUGGUAGCGUCGCGCUUCCACGUUCCUCGUUCGAACGCAAGGCUUGCCGCCGGGGCUCGUCUUCUUCUAUAUGAGUAACCGAUAUCAUUAAAUUUGAAAGGUUUAUUCUAUAUGACUUGUUGAUGUGCACGAGGAAGAACGCAAGGCUUGUCUUCUUCCUUUAAAGUGUUUUGAAGGUUAGAGAUAAUAAAGAUGCUUCUUAACUAUAACAUAUAAAAGAAGAAGUUGGGAUAAUUGUUAGGGGGUCUCAGACAAAGAAAAGAUAAGACAUGAUUGUUAGGGGGUCUCAAAGGGGACGGACAAGAAUUAAGUAGUGUACUAGUGAUAGUAAUAGCAAUGCAAUGAGUAAGUGUUUGAUCGGGAAAGGCUAUAGAGUCAGGAGUUGGGCUGGUGUCAACCAGAGAAUGAAGUACUAUACUAGUGAUAGUAAUAGCAAUGCAUUUUAUGGGGAAAGGCUAUAGAGUCAGGAGUUCAAUUACUAAAUGACAUGAGAGGAGGUGCACACUCCGUUCUUAAUACAUACCCCAUAUCUUAAAGCAAGGGGGUGCUUUAGUGAGUUGGGAGAAACAAGCAAGCAGGGGGGAAUAUCUAAGCUAUGAAUUAACAUCUUUCAAGUUUGAUUAUUUGCUUCUCCUCUCCUAUUACAACAUUCGAUACUAGAGUAACUAUCUAGAUUCUAUAAAUUCCAUUCCAUUCUAUCAAAAAGAACUAACUCAAAUUGGGAUUCGCCUUUCUUACAAAUGAUUAAACAAGAACUUUAUGAAUCACUCACUCUCGAUUCUCCUCUUUGAAUUGAAUCCAUUGAAGCAUACGAUAGACUCAAUCUACAGUAACAAUACUUCUAACUCUAUACCGACACUCUUAAUUGCUAACGAAUAAAUAACGUUAGAAAGUAAGUCCAUCCAGUUUUGAAACCUUAAACAAAUAACGGCGAAAGCAGGAUGCCAAAGGUUGUCUUACAAGAGUAAUGUUAGCAUAAAAUCUAUAAUAUGCUAUAUUAAAUGCAUAAACAAUCUUUUAUGUCACGAUUGAAAUCAAAUAAAAUUAGAUAUGAUUUUACGAUACAUACCUUUAGAUGUCAUCUGAAAAAAAAUCUCUCUGUGAUCUGCAAAGGCACCAUUUUUAGAUCCAAGAUCAUUGUCGAUCUGCGAAGAGAACUAAAUCCUUUCCUCUCUUCCUAUCCUUUUACAGGAUCUAGAGAUCUUAGCUAUUUAUAUAUAAGAGCAGAGGGUUUAGAAUAAAUUAUUAGGAGACUUCCUCCCAUGAAGGGUAUCCCCUAAGGAAUCUUAUUUUAAUAUGGAUUUCUUUUCUAUUGGGUAAUAUAUGUCAUCAGAAUCCAAUUAAUUACGUUAUAUAUCUUAUCCAAUUAUAAAGGACCAUAAAAUCCAACAAGUAAUUCAAUCUAUUCAUCAUUAUAUAUUGUGCAUAGAACAUAAGAAAGUUACUACCUAACUACAACAAGCAUGUGUGACUUGACACAAUCUUUUUGUUUAUUAUAUUUUAAUAUUUAUAAUUUUAUAUUAUUUGUUAUAUAUAUAUAUAUAUAUAUAUAUAUAUAUUGUGAUGUCUUUGGAUCUGUGUAAUGGAAAUCGGAUAGUGAUAAGAUCACGAUAAUGAAACCGAUUCACUUUUAAACACGUAUCUCUAAUCUUAAAACUACUUUCCAAACGGUUGUUACAUCAUAUAGAAGAAGACAAGCCUUGCGUUCUUCCUCGUGCACAUCAACCGGUCAUAUAGAAUAACCCUUUCAAAUUUAAUGAUAUCGGUUACUCAUAUAGAAGAAGAUGAGCCCCGGCGGUAAGCCUUGCGUUCAAACAAGGAACGUGGAAGCGCAACGCUACCAUCGAAGGAUGACGAGGAGGUGUUCCGCACGCCGACCUCCGUAGAGAGUAAGCUGCCAUCUGUUGCACCGAGCUGCUCGCCCGAGCCGAGGAAGACGAGGCGGGUGUUGAAGUGCGAGCGGAAGCUAUGGCUGGGACCGGAGAAGGGCAGCUGCUCGGAAAGAAGAGGUGUGUUAGCAGCACAGCUGAUUGAUGUGUUUCGUUCACAGUCAUCUCUUCUUUCUUCCUUCUGCAGCGGUUGUGCUUUGGUAUGUAUUUACGUCGCAGCAUUGAGAUCAUGUUGGCGUUGUUUCAUAGAGAAUUGAUAGAGAAGAGAGGUUGGUUUUGUUUGAGUGUAGGAUUUUUGAUCGAAUUCUUUGUUGUUGUUGUUUUAUUGCAGUAAUUGGUGGCAAAAUGUUAGAUCAUAUUUUACUUCAAAAAACAAAUAUUAUAAAAAAAUAAUAGUAUAUUAUAUCUCUAAUAAUAAAUUAGGAAUGUUGGAAUUAUAUAUCUACAAGUGCGAUUAUCAUCACUUUUGAUCCAUCAAAUUAUAAAGAUAUAAUCAAUUUCGAAAAUAUUAAAAAUAUAAAAUUUAUAGGUAAAAUUUAAUAUAAGAAAAAUUAAUUAUGAUAUUAUUUGUUAUAACAAUCUAUUAGGACCUGGGAACUUGUUCAUUAUAAAAUUACCUAUAUCAUGACACAAGUCAAAGAAAAAGUAAUAUUAUCUUUGUCGUCGAAUAAGCUUGUUAAAGUGAUAUAUUUAUUAGGACACAAGGAUGGAUGUAUCCAUCUAUAAUAAUUUAUAUUUAAAUAUUUUAGGUCAUGUGGUAUGCAUCUUCAUCCUAAUUUAAAUAGUAUAUCUUUAAAAUUAAUUUCUAAUUUAAAAUGUGCAAUAGAACUAAAGAUCUCUUUUAGGUGAUUAUUUGGAAGGUAAUUUAUUUCAUAAAUACUAUUAAAAAAAUUUUACCAAAAUUUAUAUUGUUAGAUAUCUCACAAAAGAUACAGUCCACUAUGCAUACACAACAUGCAAAUGCACAUAAUGACUAUAAAUACAAAGGUGGCUUAUGCUAUACAUCUUAUAGUGCAAACAUGUUUUGAUCAACUUGAUAUGAUCUUUGAGUAAAAUUAUCCGAGGUAUUUUGGAUGUGGAAACAUUCUACUCUCAAAGUGUCACUUGUAUGAAGACUAAGAUCAAGAAAGGUUUUUCGACUCAGAUCCCUUUAAUACUCAAGUUGCUAAACCAAAGUCUCUCAAAUAUGGGUUCGAAUCGUUCUAAAAGAGAAUCCUCCCUACUAUUCAGAAUAUAUAUUUUUACCUUAAAAAGAUAAGGAUGAAGCUUAGGAUUAACUUCAUUAUUAUAAGAUGAGAAAGAAAUUUGUGAUAGUAUUCCUUGUCAUAAUAAAUGAGAAGAAAAUUUAUGUUUAUCUAUUUUGAAUUUUCGUCUACAUAGACAAAUAGAUAUAGGGUGACUUGGAUCACACAUAACGACUACAUAUUAGUUAACAGUAGACUCCGUAACAAAAUGCACAAAGGGACAUAUAAUGUAUUUGAGUGUUUACUAUAAUAAAAAUUAGCUAUAACGAAUAAAUAAUGAGAUCAUGUGUUUCAUGUAAUAAAACUUAUUAGUAUUAAUGACAUUGAGAAUAUAUUUGAACAAUUGAUAGUUAAAUGAUAUAUUAGCAUGUUUAAUGCUUUCACAACACUAAACCCUAAUUCUUAUUAAUAAUAUUGACUUUCAACUUUCGGAUUGAGAAUUUAUUUGCAACCAAAUAUGUAAUUGAUAAAUUAUAAAUUAGUUAUAUUUUAUUUGUACAACCAUGUGUUAUGUUUACAUAGUUUAUUCAAACACUCCCAUAUAACUUUAGAUUAACCAAUAUGUUAACUCGAUUAUUAUUUGUUAUAAUUUUUUUUUUUAAUUGAGUACUUGAAGGAAAAAUUACCCAUGUCAAGACAAAAGACUUAAAAAGACCUAAGUGUUGCACAUCCAAGAGCAGCAUAAAUAUAAUUAUCUUUGUUGUCAAAUUAACUUAUUAUUUUUUAUAAUUCUUAUGAAAUAUAUAGCAUCCCCAAUAGAUCCCACAUCCAAGGCAAUAUCAUAUAUAUGACAUUAUAGAGAAAUAGUUGGAUCCAUCGAUCCUAACUUUGGUUUUGUGAAUCCUAACCUAAUUAGCAUAUUUUUUAAAAUUAUUUUUCUAUGUAAUGGAUCUAAAGAUCUCUUUUAGUGAAUCCUAAAUUUUUAUUUGGAAGGAAACUAUGUCAUGAAUAUCAUAGAAAAUUUUCUACCAUAAUUUAUAUUUUUAGAUAUCCAAUAAAAGUACACUCUUAAGCUUGUAGGCAUACAAAUGCAUCUAAUUACUCUAUAAAUAUAAUGCCAACUUCUAUCCUAUCCCAAUAGUACAAUAAUUUAUCUUUCUCUCUCUCCAUGUACAAGUAUAAUAAGAUAGUUAGGUUUUUGGAGAUAUGUAUAUAUAUUUUUUAUGGAAGUUUUGGGAUCGAACUCUGAACCUCAUGCUCACAUAUUUAGUACGAGAAAAUUAAGACAUGCGGUUCAAGUUCAAUCCUUGACUUUCCAUAAGAAAAAAAGAUAGAGAGAAUGUGAAUUAUCUAUCGAUUUGCAGCAGAUAAAACUAUCCAUAAAGGUGCAAGGCUUGUGAGUCCUCUCUUUUCUUUUCCUUAAUAGCUAUCUUUUUCUUUUUAAUGUUCACUAUGUUAUAAUUAUUAUUUUUUAUCUUAUCAAUGUCUCACAAGAAGAAAAAAAAAAAAAAGAGAGAGAUAAAAAUCAGCAUAGAUAUCAGUUUUGAUAUUUAUCCCUUUAAUUGUAACUUUUAAUAUUCUGGACCAUAAAUAUGAUUUAUACAUAUAAAUAUGAUUUACUUGCAACAUUUGCAUCAAGAUUCUUUUACAGUGAUUUAUAUUUGAUCAAUUGUAAUAUAUAUAUAUAUAUAUAUAUAUAUAUAUAUAUAUAUAUAUAUAUAUAUAUAUAUAUNNNNNNNNNNNNNNNNNNNNAUUAGUAUAUUAUAUAUAUAUAUAUAUAUAUAUAUAUAUAUAUAUAUAUAUAUAUAUAUAUAUAUAUAUAUAUAUAUAUGUCAUAAUUAUAUAACCAUGUUUAGCAUUUAGUCUAUUAUAUUAUAUGUUAUAAAUAACUUUUUUAUCUCUUGCACUGCAUAUAUCUCAUGAAAGAUAAUUUGAGUGUAGCCAAUAAUUUUGUUUAUGUUUAUCUCUAUCAUAUGGUAUGUAUGUAUAUCAUUCGAAACUUAUACCUCAUGGUGAUUGGUUGUUAAAAUAGUGAUGAUGAAACUCAAAUUGGUACUAAUAUCUUAUGUAAAGAUAUUGUUAAUAUUAUGAUUUAGAGCUAUUACGAUUGAUAAGUAUUUGAAUAUCAUAUGAUUGAUACCCUAAUUGAUAAGUACUACCAUUUAGAGAUAUUAUGGUUGAUAAGUAUUAUGAUUUAGAGCUAUUUUUAAUAUCUCUAUCAUUAUGGUAUGUAUGUAUGUACAUAUGUAUACCCUUCAAAACUUAUACCUCGUGGUGAUUGGUUGUUAAAAUAGUGAUGAUGAAAUUCAAAUUGAUACUCAGAAAAGCUUUAGAGCUAUUAUGAUUGAUAAGUAUUUUUAGAGUUCUAAUAGGAAUUAAAUUGCUUCCUGAUAACAUUAUUUAGAGAUUAGAAAUUGAUCCUUAGUCUUAUUUUGAUGCUUUUCUAUUGCUGAUCACAAUAUAUUAAUUCAUUUAAAAACUUUACACUUCUAUGUUAGUUUGAAAAAAUAAAUAUUUUUUUUCCGACAAAAGAGAAACCAUAUUACCUAAAAAAUGAGUAAUUAUUAUCUACAGCAUCAAAGAGAACCAAAUCACAAAAUUUGCCAAUCAAUUGGCAAAUUUUAAAAUGCCAUAUAUCGUAUUCAAAAAGUUGUACAUUAAUUCAAGCCUCUCUAUAUGCAAAUUAUAAAACGUUGGAAGUGAUAUUUCAAUUCCAUGAAAUUAUAGUUUUCUUCGUUUCAAGAAUACAUAUAAAAUUAUCCAAUUUCUAUUUCCUUUCAUUUGAACAAUUUUACAAUUUCUUAUGCAGAUUUAUUUUAGGAAUAAAAACGAUUGAUUUUUUUUUGUUACGAAUCUAUUUGAUUCACUUAAAUCGAUUUCAUGUUCAAAUAUCUAAGAAAUACUUGAAGGGCAAGUUAAUUACAAGAAAAUGACAUUGGAUCCAUUUUUUUGAAUAUAUAUAUAUAUAUAUAUAUUUAUUUAUUUGAAUAAAUUCAGAGAUUCUAAUAAUAAUUAUAUUACACAGCUGUGAAUGGAUAAAUAUUAUGUGCUGGGAAUUGUUGUUGGCCCAAAAAAAAAAAGUGACAUUUGAUUCAUUAACACUAAUAUCAUGCGAUCAAAAACUACUUACACCUUUCUAAAAUUUAUCUAUAAUAAUUCUUAUGAAGAACAAAAAAAAAAAAAACUCUCUCAAAUCACAUCAUAAAUAAGUUUAUGUUAACUAUAAAAAUUUUGACAAUUUAUUAAGAAGUCAUUCAUGAGCUUAAAACCUAUCUUCAUCACUUACCCAACAAUGCAAUCGUUUAUCUAUCCCUAUCCUAGAAAAGGACUUCACACCCUCACCCAACAUUUCUCCUUCAUGCACCAAGUCCC
rnacentral:lncRNA from 1 species